rnacentral:lncRNA from 1 species
GUCACAGGACAGUGGGGCUCUAAGGGUGCACUAAUGCUGCACCCAACUUGCCCGCUCCCAGAUCGGAGAGGCCCCCAGAAAUGCUGAGCCCUGCUCUGGGCCCCGAGCACCCUACGGGGCCACACACCACACCACCUCGACUCCCGCCUCCCGCCAGGGGCCAGGCAGCACAGGGGUCCUGAAGCUCCAGGACCUAGCCAAGGCCGUGUCCCAGAUAUGAUGAGCUUAGAACGGGUUUACUUCACCAGGGAAAAUUUGUCUCCAGAAGCUUCUCCCCCAUCAAAAGGAGGCCACCUUUUACAAAGUGAAACAAGUUUGCAGAUGCAGUUCUGUCCUGUCUUUCUGUGAGCAGUGGGGGGGGGGGGGGUGUUAUGGGGCAGGGGAUCUCCGCCAGGAAGGAGAAAGGGAGACCCUCAAAGAUGGCCCAGGGAAACUGAGUCAGGCCCUGGCUGCGCCUGUGUAGUGAGCCGUACCUGCCCCAGCCUCCGGGGAUGCAGAGAAAGCAUCUGAAUGGGGGGGGGGGGCAUGUGUCACCGCCCCUUUGAGAGUCUCAGAGCAGGUGCACAGGCAGGUGCACUGGGGUGGGGGGAGCCGUGCCGAAGCCGCUUCAUUCCUGUUCUGGGAAAGACCCACUCCCUUGUUUAUGUGGGGACUGUGGAGCCCCGAGCGUCAGGGGACUGUGCAAAAUGCCCGGACUGCUCUGCUUGCCAGGUACAGCCAUACUUGAAUUUCGUUAUGACAAUGCUGCACAAACCCCCACCCCAUCCCAGUGCUCUGAAUUUGGCUACCUCUGGUUUGCCAGCCAGGUGAGCAGCUGUGAGAGCAGGCAUGCCGUUGUCCUGUAAAUCUGACUGCGUGCGAGGAGAGCAAAGUCCUGCCUUGAUGCCACCCCCACAUCGAGGUCCCCUCCGCUUUUGUCAUCUUCCUAAAACAAGAAAAAGCAUGCCUCUCUAACAUCUGCAGCGCCCUCACCUCAAUGACAACCGUGGUGACAGCAACUGUGUCCCCACAAGGAAAACCGUGACUUUGGGGCAUUUAUUUGCCUCUGUCUUAGACGUAGCGCUGGCAGGACUGUGGGUGGAGCUAAAGCCCCAGGGACAGGUGCGUGAAGAGCAGUCCCCUUGGCUGGGCUCUGGCAGCUUGCAGCAUCGAGGGAGUCCAGCCAGAAGGAAGCCCUCGCUUGCUCACUGCAAAGCGCCCGGGAUCCCGGAAGCAGAGGCCUCCAGGGGACAGAACUGACAGUCACUAGCUGAGGACAGCUCCUUGGCCAGGGAUGGCUGCUCUCUGUUCGACUCUAAGAGAAGCCAUUUGUGCCUCCUUCCCUUCCCCCUUUUUCUUUCUUCUGUCUCUCCUCCCCCCAACCUCUCUCUCAUUCCCCCUCCUCUUCUUCUCUUCCUUCCAGCCUCCUCUCUCUCUGUCU